rnacentral:misc_RNA from 1 species
GCAUAUGUACACCGACUCUACUCGUAAACGGACGAAAUGUAUCUUAGAGUCUUUAAUAAAUAAAUACCAACCUUUGUUUCAAUAAGAAAAAAAAUCUGUAAAAUGGCGCUUGUAUCCAUAAAAAAGAAAGAAGAGACCAUGGAAGAGGACGAUGUCUUGGCAUAUCAGGCAAACUACGAAGUUUUUAAAGGCGGACUUAGUAGACAUGAAAUUACAAAAUAUUAUGACAAGUGGGCGGAAACUGGCGAAUAUAAUAAGCAUUUGAGUCCAGACCGUUACACAGGACCAGAAUGUGCUGCUCGUGCCCUUGCUAAAAAUAUUCCAGCAAAGGACAGGUCAACAGCUAGAAUCCUUGAUGUAGCGGCAGGUACAGGACUACUGGGUGCUGAGCUGUACAAACUUGGCUUUCGCAACAUGGAUGCAUUAGAUCCAUCCGAGGGCAUGUUAAACAAAGCGAGAGAACGACAGAUUUACACUAACUUUAUCAACGAUUUUAUUGGCCUAGAAAAUCUAGUACCUGUCGAAGACAACUACCUAUGAUGGUUUAGCUGUAUCUGGAGGGUUUGGGGAAGGCCAUAUUCCAGUUUCCGCCCUGUACGAGAUGAUUAGAAUCGUAAGACCAGGUGGAAUAAUCUGCAUUGCAAUGAGGGAAGAAUACCUUGAUGUUUCAGAAUAUAAAGGAAUACUUGAACCGUUCAUGCAAAACCUUGAAAGGGAUGGCAAAUGGAAACUGCUCACAAAAGACACGAUCGGCAAUU